UAUUAUUAUUAUUUAAAUUUUAUAUUUAAGUUAAAAAGCUUAAUUAAUAUAAUUAGACGAGAAGACCCUAUAGAAUUUAAUUAAUAUUUUAAAUUUUUUAUUUAAUUUAUAGAUUAAUUUAAUUGGGGAGAUUAAAAAAUUUAAUUAACUUUUUUUAUAAAUUCAUUAAUUUUUGUUUUAAUGAUCUUUAUUAUAUAGAUUAAAAAAUUAAAUUACCUUAGGGAAACAGCAAAAAAAAAUAAGUUCUUAAAAAGUG
rnacentral:rRNA from 1 species